rnacentral:lncRNA from 1 species
GGCAGGCCUCCUUGAGCUGUGGUGGGCUCCACCCAGUUCGAGCUUCCUGGCUGCUUUGUUUACCUAAUCAAGCCUGGGCAAUGGCGGGCGCCCCUCCCCCAGCCUCGCUGCCGCCUUGCACUUUGAUCUCAGACUGCUGUGCUAGCAAUCAGCGAGACUCCGUGGGUGUAGGACCCUCCGAGCCAGGUGCGGGAUAUAAUCUUGUGGUGUGCCAUUUUUUAAGCCCAUCGGAAAAGCGCCGUAUUCGGGUGGGAGUGACCCGAUUUUCCAGGUGCCAUCUGUCACCCUUUUCUUUGACUCAGAAAGGGAACUUGCUGACCCCUUGCGCUUCCCAAGUGAGGCAAUGCCUCGCCCUGCUUCGGCUCACGCACAGUGCGCCCACCCACUGACCUGCGCCCACUGUCUGGCACUCGCUAGUGAGAUGAACCCGGUACCUCAGAUGGAAAUGCAGAAAUCACCCGUCUUCUGCGUCGCUCAGGCUGGGAGCUGUAGACCAGAGCUGUUCCUAUUCGGCCAUCUUCUGGUGCUACAUUUUAAAAGAGAAAGAAAAACUACAUAUACAGUAAGACAUUCUGUGCUGGGAGGAGAGCAGAGGAUCCAGGGAGCAGAUUGCAGGGAGCUUCACUGAAGCAAGAUGACCGUGAUGCUGGAGAAGAGCCCUUGAGAUGGAACAGAAAUUCUAUGGCAGUACUGGCUGUGCCUGAGAAACCUCCUGCCACUCAAGCCCAGCAAGGACACAGGCAGGUUACUGAGUAGAUGGAUUGACCAGAGCUUCCUAUAAUACCAAGGAAAGUUUCACGGAGAACAUCUGGAAUUAAGUCAACUUGAGUGGAUUGAAGGAUGCAAAGUAUUUUUCCUGGGUGUGUCUGUCAGGGCGUUGCCAAAGGAGAUCAACAUUUGAGUCAGUGGCCCGGAAGAGGCAGACCCACCCUCUAUCUGGGUAGGCACCAUCUAAUCAGUUGCCAGUGUGGCUGGAAUAAAGCAGGCAGAAGAACAUGGAAGGACUUGACUUGCUGUCUUCUGGCCUUCAUCUUUCUCCUGUGGUGGAUGCUUCCUGCCCUUGAACCUUAGACUCCAGGUUCUUCAGCUUUUGGACUCUUGGACUUACACCAGUAAUUUGCCAGGGGCUGUCUCUCUAGCAUCCUUGCUCCUCAGCUUGCAGACAGCCUAUUGUGGGACUUCAAUUUGUGAUUGCAUGAGUCAAUACUUCUUAAUAAAUUCUCCUCCAUAUAUACAUCUGUCCUGUUUUUUCUGUUCCUUUAGAGAACCCUAAUUAAUACAGAUUUAUUCUCUUCCAGAUUCUUUUUAGAAAAAUUACAGAGAAUAUUGGAUU